UACGUAGGUGGCAAGCGUUGUUCGGAAUUACUGGGCGUAAAGCGCACGCAGGUGGCUGAGUCAGUCGAUUGUGAAAGCCCUGGGCUUAACCUGGGAACUGCAUUCGAGACUGCAUUGCUAGAGUAUGGGAGAGGGAAGUGGAAUUUCCGGUGUAGCGGUGAAAUGCGCAGAUAUCAGGAGGAACACCGGUGGCGAAGGCGGGUCUCUGGGCCGAUGACUGACGCUGAGGAGCGAAAGCGUGGGGAGCGAACAGG
rnacentral:rRNA from 1 species